UUGAAAGGGAAACGAUGAAGUCAGUCGUACUACGAGUAAUCAACCUACACGAGCGCGGAUUUUGUGGUAUGAGAGUUAAAACCCUUCACGCUUUCAAAUUGGUGUUCUUGGGCGGUACUUUCUCGUAUGGGUAGGUUAACAUCGAUUUCGAUCGUUAUAAAAUGACGGGAGGAAUGUAGCUUCGACUUUGGUGAAGUGUUAUAGCCUCAGGUAGAUGUAAUGAUUGGGAUUGAGGAUUGCAACGGGUACCCUCUGGGCUAUUCGUCUGAUCUCUGGAAGUUACCUUGGUGUCGAAAGCGUGCUUAUGACAUUAAGAAUGACGGCCAAAGAGGUUAGAACGGAGAGUUAAGUUCGUUAAGGAUGUUGACGUA
rnacentral:rRNA from 1 species